GGCUGCCCGGCGAACUCCCGGACCGGGCUCGUGCGCCGCUGCGGACGGCGCCCCGGGGCCGGCUCGGGACGGCGGGCGGCCA
rnacentral:tRNA from 1 species